rnacentral:rRNA from 1 species
UACAGAGGUCUCAAGCGUUGUUCGGAUUCAUUGGGCGUAAAGGGUGCGUAGGCGGCGCGGUAAGUCGGGUGUGAAAUCUCGGAGCUUAACUCCCGAAACUGCAUUCGAUACUGCCGUGCUUGAGGACUGGAGAGGAGACUGGAAUUUACGGUGUAGCGGUGAAAUGCGUAGAUAUCGUAAGGAAGACCAGUGGCGAAGGCGGGUCUCUGG